UCCGUGUCGCAGCUAACGCAUUAAGUUCCCCGCCUGGGGAGUACGGCCGCAAGGCUAAAACUCAAAGGAAUUGACGGGGGCCCGCACAAGCGGCGGAGCAUGCGGAUUAAUUCGAUGCAACGCGAAGAACCUUACCAAGGCUUGACAUAUAGAGGAAACGGCUGGAAACAGUCGCCCCGCAAGGUCUCUAUACAGGUGGUGCAUGGUUGUCGUCAGCUCGUGUCGUGAGAUGUUGGGUUAAGUCCCGCAACGAGCGCAACCCUCGUCCUAUGUUGCCAGCACGUAAUGGUGGGAACUCAUGGGAUACUGCCGGGGUCAACUCGGAGGAAGGUGGGGAUGACGUCAAAUCAUCAUGCCCCUUAUGUCUUGGGCUUCACGCAUGCUACAAUGGCCGGUACAAAGGGCUGCAAUACCGCAAGGUGGAGCGAAUCCCAAAAAGCCGGUCUCAGUUCGGAUUGAGGUCUGCAACUCGACCUCAUGAAGUCGGAGUCGCUAGUAAUCGCAGAUCAGCAACGCUGCGGUGAAUACGUUCCCGGGCCUUGUACACACCGCCCGUCAAGUCAUGAAAGUCGGUAACACCCGAAGCCAGUGGCCUAACCCGCAAGGGGAGGAGCUGUCGAAGGUGGGAUCGGUGAUUAGGACUAAGUCGUAACAAGGUAGCCGUACCGGAAGGUGCGGCUGGAUCACCUCCUUUCUAAGGA
rnacentral:rRNA from 1 species